GCGGCGUUCCUGGGCACCGCAGUUUUCUCUUCUCCUUUCACCCCUCCCUUUUACCAUCCCCUUCACUCUUAGAGGCGCCAAGUCUUUGGCCUGCUUCUAAGGUGAACCCAGCUCCCCAAAGUGCCCCCAGUCCUUGAGCCCGGCUGGCUUCAGGCUGUAGGGAGUGGGAUCCCGGGCCCCGGGCGGGCGGGAGGGACGGGACGCGGUGCAGUGUUGUUAUUUCCCCCGCCAAUAUUGCACUCGUCCCGGCCUCCGGCCCCCUCGGCCCCCCGGCCUCCCCCUCACCUCAAGCGGGGCAGCCCCCGCCCUCCUGACUCUCGAUACCGGCUGAUCUAAGAUAGAAUGGAGUGUCGCCGCUGCCACCGUUCCUUCUUGAUUCCCACCCUAUCCCGGAAAAUCCCUAAAACAAGCAAUUGCACUGGCUUAGAAAACAACUGGAACUUUAUGGCAAUCUGCUGUUAUCUUUCCUGGGAAGAGAAAUGGGGCACAGAGGAGGAAUGAUGUGCCCAACACCGCCUACAUUUCCUGUCUGUGGCGAGAAGGGAACUGGAAAGAAGUGGCCGUGGUCUCUACCCAUGGCAUGGAGGAAUUGAGCAAAGGAGGGGUCACUGGUGAGUCCCAGCUAAAGGGGAAGGAAAGGCCUCAGCCUGGGGUCCUCUGGAUGGUCUCAGUCCCUCUCCUCACCGAAUAUAACCAACUUGAGGCCGGUGCAGCAGCUGCCAGCGGUAGGAGGUCUUGUCACGCCAGCCCACAUUUCGUGGGUCAGUCCAUAACAGCCGUACCUGAUCAGGGGUAUGACCAGUAUGCCAGAGGGCAUUCCGGAGGUGCUCACCUGGGCCAGACACUGAUGUCACUGCCUGGGGGUCAUUGGCAAAGACAAUGGAUCAACCACAGGACCAGAGAGAAGGGAACACAAGGCUGGGCUUGCAGCCUCCCCCUGAGCAAAGUCCAAACCAGUCCAACCCUCUUUGGAGCCAGCCUUACCAUCUGAGUCUUUCUGAUUGGGAUUGGGUACCAGACGACAGUUAUCAGGACCAGGAGGCACAUAAUCUGGGACACCAUCAUUGUCGUCAUCCCCAUCACACUCAUCUCCAAGUCCAUCAUUGUCUGAGUCCAACUGGGAGCUAUUCGGCAACUGUGGGCAGUUGUCCUUGGUAUCCUGAUGCCCAUCCCCAUCACUGCUCAGAAGAACAGUCACCAAAUAAAGGCUGUCAAAGGUCCCCCCCACACAUACAUCCUUUCCCUGUCUUCUGCUUAGGGGAUGCUCAAGCCUGCCCUCCAUCCAGACCCCUUGCAGUCAGCCAAAUGUGAAGGUCCAGCAGUAGGAAUGGAAGGUAGACUAUGAGAACAGAGAAUGAAGGCUAAACCAUAGAAAGUAUUGAGAAUGGGCUAGAAGAAAGUAAAAUAUCCCCUGAAAGACUGUGUGUCUCUUGGCCAAGAUCCCACCUGUCUUCAUUGGUGUCACAGACAUCUCCCACCAGGUCACUGUCUGCAUCUGUCUGAGAGAGAGACCUGAUCUCACCAUCUCCUCUUGAUAACUCUGAAGAUGGUGACCCACUUCCCAUCCAAAGGGCAGAGGCUUCAUCCACUAUUUACCCCGCCUCUCCCCUGUACCUGGGUAGGAUUGCUCAUUUCAGGGCAGCUGUCACAAGCAUCUCCCACCCCAUCCUCAUCCCUGUCUGUCUGUAGUGGGUUGGGUACUUUCGGGCAAUUGUCCAAUCCAUUGGGGAUGCCUGGAAGACAUGGGGGAAAGCACAGAGUUGUCAAGAACAUGUCUCACUCUCUCCUAGGUUGGUGAAAGAUCUGAGCUUUGUCCCCAUACAUUGGUUAUCUCCCCUCACCCAGGCGAACUCCCACAGCAAGCCUCCUCAAUUCUCACAGACUUCCUGGCUUCCCUGCCUCAGUCCCUCUAUCCAAACUCCCAGCCUUCCCCUGAGCCCCAGGCCUGCACCAUCCCCAUCCACAUCGUUGUCACAAGCAUCUCCUUCUCCAUUGCCAUCUGUGUCCUUCUGGUCAUUGUUGGGAACGUUGGGGCAGUUGUCACAGGCAUCACCAAAUGAAUCUGUGUCUGAGUUCUGCUGGUCCUUGUUGGGAAACAGUCGGCAGUUG